UACGUAGGGGGCAAGCGUUGUCCGGAGUUACUGGGCGUAAAGCGCACGCAGGCGGUCUCUUAAGUUUGGAGUGACAGUUGGUGGCUUAACUGCCAAAGUGCUUCGAAAACUGAGAGACUUGAGGGCUUCAGAGGGACACGGAAUUCCGGGUGGAGUGGUGAAAUGCGUAGAGAUCCGGAGGAACACCAAAGGCGAAGGCAGUGUCCUGGGUGGUCGCUGACGCUGAGAGGCGAAAGCCAGGGGAGCGAACGGG
rnacentral:rRNA from 1 species